UUUCCGGUUGAUCCCGCCGGACCCGACUGCUAUUUGGGUGAGGAUAAGCCAUGCGAGUCGAAUGGGAUACCUAAAUUUCCCAUGGCGAACUGCUCAGUAACACAUGAUCAACUUGCCCUAUAGAGAAAAAUAACCUCGGGAAACUGAGGAUAAUAUUUCAUAGUUGAAUAGGCUUGGAAAAGUUUUUCAAUAAAAGGGAUAAAAAAAAUGGUUUUUAUCUGCUAUAGGAUAGGAUCGUGGACGAUUAUGGUUGUUGGUGAGGUAAUGGCUCACCAAGCCGAUAAUCGAUAGGGGCCGUGAGAGCGGGAGCCCCGAGAUGGGUACUGAGACAACGACCCAGGCCUUACGAGGCGCAGCAGGCGCGGAACCUCCGCAAUACACGAAAGUGUGACGGGGUUACCCAAAGUGUUCAAUUCUGAACUGUGGUAGGUGAGUAAUGUCCCCUACUAGAAAGGAGAGGGCAAGGCUGGUGCCAGCCGCCGCGGUAAAACCAGCUCUUCAAGUGGUCGGGAUAAUUAUUGGGCUUAAAGUGUCCGUAGCCGGUUUAGUAAGUUCCUGGUAAAAUCGGGUAGCUUAACUAUCUGUAUGCUAGGAAUACUGCUAUACUAGAGGGCGGGAGAGGUCUGAGGUACUACAGGGGUAGGGGUGAAAUCUUAUAAUCCUUGUAGGACCACCAGUGGCGAAGGCGUCAGACUGGAACGUGCCUGACGGUGAGGGACGAAAGCCAGGGAGCGAACCGGAUUAGAUACCCGGGUAGUCCUGGCCGUAAACGAUGCAUACUAGGUGAUGGUACGGCCAUGAGCCGUAUCAGUGCCGUAGGGAAACCGUUAAGUGUGCCGCCUGGGAAGUACGGUCGCAAGGCUAAAACUUAAAGGAAUUGGCGGGGGAGCACCACAAGGGGUGAAGCCUGCGGUUCAAUUGGAUUCAACGCCGGAA
rnacentral:rRNA from 1 species